GAUGAACGCUAGCGGCAGGCCUAAUACACGCAAGUCGGACGGGAUUUGGGAGCUUGCUCCUAAUGAGAGUGGCGCACGGGUGCGUAUCACGUAUGUAACCUACCUUAGUCAGGGGGAUAGCCUCUCGAAAGAGAGAUUAAGACCGCAUAACAUUAUUGAGUGGCAUCAUUUAAUAAUCAAAUAUUUAUAGGACUAAGAUGGGCAUGCGGAACAUUAGCUAGUUGGUAGGGUAACGGCCUACCAAGGCUACGAUGUUUAGGGGAUCUGAGAGGAUGGCCCCCCACACUGGUACUGAGACACGGACCAGACUCCUACGGGAGGCAGCAGUAAGGAAUAUUGGUCAAUGGGCGGAAGCCUGAACCAGCCAUGCCGCGUGCAGGAAGACGGCCCUACGGGUUGUAAACUGCUUUUAUACGGGAAUAAACCUACUUACGUGUAAGUAGCUGAAUGUACUGUAAGAAUAAGGAUCGGCUAACUCCGUGCCAGCAGCCGCGGUAA
rnacentral:rRNA from 1 species